GAUGAACGCUGGCGGCGUGCCUCAAACAUGCAAGUCGAGCGGGGCUAUGUAAUACCGCAAGGUAGAACAUAGCCUAGCGGCGAACGGGUGAGUAACACGUGGGUAACCUGCCUGGAAGACAGGGAUAACGAUUCGAAAGGGUCGCUAAUACCUGAUAAUAUCCUUUCAUCGCAUGGUGAUAGGAAGAAAGGGGAAACCCGCUUUCAGAUGGGCCCGCGUCCCAUCAGCUAGUUGGUAAGGUAAAGGCUUACCAAGGCGACGACGGGUAGCCGGUCUGAGAGGAUGUACGGCCACACUGGGACUGAGAUACGGCCCAGACUCCUACGGGAGGCAGCAGUUGGGAAUCUUAGGCAAUGGACGAAAGUCUGACCUAGCGACGCCGCGUGAGGGAAGAAGGCCUUCGGGUUGUAAACCUCUGUCAUGGGGAAGAAGUAAGUGACGGUACCCAAGAGGAAGCCCCUGCUAACUACGUG
rnacentral:rRNA from 1 species